GGUGUUUGGCACCUCGAUGUCGGCUCAUCACAUCCUGGGGCUGAAGCCGGUYCCAAGGGUAUGGCUGUUCGCCAUUUAAAGUGGUACGCGAGCUGGGUUUAGAACGUCGUGAGACAGUUCGGUCCCUAUCUGCCGUGGACGUUUGAGAUUUGAGAGGGGCUGCUCCUAGUACGAGAGGACCGGAGUGGACGAACCUCUGGUGUUCCGGUUGUCACGCCAGUGGCAUUGCCGGGUAGCUAUGUUCGGAAAAGAUAACCGCUGAAAGCAUCUAAGCGGGAAACUUGCCUCAAGAUGAGAUCUCACUGGGAACUUGAUUCCCCUGAAGGGCCGUCGAAGACUACGACGUUGAUAGGCUGGGUGUGUAAGCGUUGUGAGGCGUUGAGCUAACCAGUACUAAUUGCCCGUGAGGCUUGACCAUAUAACACCCAAACA
rnacentral:rRNA from 1 species